GAUGAACGCUGGCGGCGUGCCUAAUACAUGCAAGUCGAGCGAACGGACGAGAAGCUUGCUUCUCUGAUGUUAGCGGCGGACGGGUGAGUAACACGUGGAUAACCUACCUAUAAGACUGGGAUAACUUCGGGAAACCGGAGCUAAUACCGGAUAAUAUUUUGAACCGCAUGGUUCAAAAGUGAAAGACGGUCUUGCUGUCACUUAUAGAUGGAUCCGCGCUGCAUUAGCUAGUUGGUAAGGUAACGGCUUACCAAGGCAACGAUGCAUAGCCGACCUGAGAGGGUGAUCGGCCACACGGGAACUGAGACACGGUCCAGACUCCUACGGGAGGCAGCAGUAGGGAAUCUUCCGCAAUGGGCGAAAGCAUGACGGAGCAACGCCGCGUGAGUGAUGAAGGUCUUCGGAUCGUAAAACUCUGUUAUGAGGGAAGAACAUAUGUGUAAGUAACUGUGCACAUCGUGACGGUACCUAAUCAGAAAGCCACGGCUAACUACGUG
rnacentral:rRNA from 1 species